rnacentral:rRNA from 1 species
UAGUCCACGCCGUAAACGAUGAUUACUCGCUGUAGGCGAUACACAGUCUGUGGCUAAGCGAAAGUUUUAAGUAAUCCACCUGGGGAGUACGAUCGCAAGAUUGAAACUCAAAGGAAUUGACGGGGGCCCGCACAAGCGGAGGAACAUGUGGUUUAAUUCGAUGAUACGCGAGGAACCUUACCUGGACUUAAAUGUGCGUUGCAUAGAUCAGAGAUGGUCUUUUCUUCGGACUACGUACAAGGUGCUGCAUGGUUGUCGUCAGCUCGUGCCGUGAGGUGUCGGGUUAAGUCCCAUAACGAGCGCAACCCCUAUCCUUAGUUGUCAGCGGGUCAUGCCGGGGACUCUGAGGAGACUGCCACCGUAAGGUGUGAGGAAGGCGGGGACGACGUCAAAUCAUCAUGGCCUUUAUGCCCAGGGCUACACACGUGCUACAAUGGCAAGUACAGAGGGCUGCUAACCUGCGAAGGUAUGCUAAUCCCAGAAAGCUUGUCCCAGUUCGGAUCGG